UACGGAGGAUGCGAGCGUUAUCCGGAUUUAUUGGGUUUAAAGGGUGCGCAGGCGGCGUGUCAAGCAAGCGGUAAAAUAGCGGGGCUCAACCCCGUCGAGCCGUUUGAACUGGCGCGCUUGAGUUCAGGCGAGGUAUGCGGAAUGCGUGGUGUAGCGGUGAAAUGCAUAGAUAUCACGCAGAACCCCGAUUGCGAAGGCAGCAUACCGGUGCACAACUGACGCUCAGGCACGAAAGCGUGGGUAUCGAACAGG
rnacentral:rRNA from 1 species